rnacentral:lncRNA from 1 species
CGCUUCCCCCCUCCAUUCUAAAAAUGUUCAGCCCUUUUGGAUUUUUGUAGCAAACUAAGAAUUCUUCUAAUUUUAUGUAAAGGAAAGUUGUUCACAAGUGUUACUAUUAGCAAACUUGAAAAUAUUCUGUCUUUAACUUUUGGGUGGAGAAAGUUCAAAAUGAUAACUUUUUUUUGAGGUACAACGUGUUUCUAUCCUCUGAUGAUGUUCCACAGAAAUGUUCAACUUAUUGUGCUAGUGCAAUAACAACUUAUAGUGUUGGCAUAU